UACGUAGGGGCCUAGCGUUGUCCGGAAUUAUUGGGCGUAAAGAGCUCGUAGGCGGUUCGGCAAGUCGGAUGUGAAAUCUCCACGCUCAACGUGGAGGGGCCAUUCGAAACUGCCGUGACUCGAGUCCGGUAGGGGAGUGUGGAAUUCCCGGUGUAGCGGUGAAAUGCGCAGAUAUCGGGAGGAACACCAGUAGCGAAGGCGGCACUCUGGGCCGGUGCUGACGCUGAGGAGCGAAAGCGUGGGGAGCGAACAGG
rnacentral:rRNA from 1 species